rnacentral:lncRNA from 1 species
UUUUUUUCCAGCGACAUUCACGAGAGAGACGAAGAGGACACGGUCAUUCGAGUGCCGAGGCGCGGAAGCGCGAACUGCGCGGAGCGACCUGGCUUGGCGCACAGACUCGUUUACCAAGCUCGAGAGGCGGCAGCAAUGCGUGUGCGGGAAGGGGAGCGGUUCUCAAAAUACAAAGUGAUAAAACAGCUUCCAGUUGUGUUGAAAAACGAUGCAAACCCUCAAUUCCUUUUUUUCUUUUUUGGACCUGGCCGGACCUGGAAGUGCCGGUUAUAAACAAGAACAAAACCUUGAAUUUAUUGGUGGAAGUCCUAUUAAAAGAGCCCAACACAGGCAUAUGAGACAAACUGCAAGAAGCAAAUGGUCUCCAUUGAGAGAGCAGGACCACACUCUCUGGGUUCUUGUUUAAGGUGGGUCAAAGAAAAAAAAUUAUUUGCUUGUGUGUUUUUAAGAAAAAGACAUGGGAACCAAACAUGAAGGUUUCAAAGGUGUUUGUGAUAAUGCGCCUUUCAUUACAGACAUGUCAGUUUGAGAAUUUUGUCACAGCUCAGUGGAUUCUUUGUGAUUUCUGCUGGUGGUUGCUUACUUUGUUGAACUCUCUUCUGAGUGCUGAGACUGGUCAAUAUGCUGAAAUAAAUCGACAUGUUUCUGUACCUACAAGACUGCAUUAAAGAAAUGAAUGUAUCCAUAUUAUUAAAAACAAUACCAUCUGAAUAUCAAUAAAUACAGAACUAACCACCAUGGAUGAAUCGCAUACACAUAAUACUAAAAGAAGCCAGACGCAAGAAUACGUACUUUAUGCUUCUGUUUAUAUAAAGCUCAAAAACAUGCACUAAUCCCUAGUGUUACGUUAGCCCAACUAUAGUGAGGGUAGUGGUUACCCUCAGAGGAGUAGUCACUGAUAAUGUUCUGUUACAUAGGUGUGUUCGCCUUAUGAAAACUCAUUGAGCUUACACAUUUGUGAACUUAAGACAUGCAUUUUUUCUGUAUAUAUGUUUUAUUUCAAUAAAACACAUACUUCACAAAAUGAAAAUAAGGGAAAAAAUACUAAGAAGUAAAGGCAUGGAAUUGUGAGCCAAUGUAUUUUUAAAAGGCAGAGAGGCUGAAGCUGAGGGCUGAGGAUAUAAUUCCCAAAGAGAAAAAAUGUACGAAAACAUCUGGCAAAAUGUUAUUAGCAAGGUUUGAAUGUGUUCACUUUGCCAUUUUAAUAUCCACCCACCCACAAACAGAAUACUACUCAGUAUUCAUUCUUCACCAAAUAUAGGAAUCUUUCUUGUUUCUUUUGCAUGUGUUAAAGUAAAAGUCUGGUUAAGGUGUUUUAAGAAUCUUAUUCUUUGUCUCUAAGACGCAGCACUCCCUGAUCCUAAAAAACAAAAACAAAAAAAGCUUAUUUUCUCCAUGCACAUGCAUUAAAAAAUCAUCAGAUGAUUUUCUCAUUUUCAGUUUUGUGAUAUAUUUUCUUCUCAAGAGGGGAUAUCUGUUUCUGAUUUAUUAGCAUUUGAUCUCCUAGUUUCCUGCCAUUGAUCAAGCCUAAUACUUAGCUCAGCUGAUGAGUUUUAUAUGAAAUCUGAUAUUUUAGGAAGAUGGAAGGUUGAACCCAUUUUUAAUAUUUGUUUGCCCUUCAUCUCUUUCAGCAUUUGACGUGCACAUGAGGCACCUAACAAAGCCUAAAACUAAAUUUAUUUUUCACUACAUCUCUCUGGUAUCAAACUUUUGGAAGUAAAACAUGUAUUUAUCAAUAAAACAGAUGUUUGCCCAGCA